rnacentral:rRNA from 1 species
UACAGAGGGGGCAAGCGUUGUUCGGAAUUACUGGGCGUAAAGGGCGCGUAGGCGGCCUUCUAAGUCGAACGUGAAAUCCCCGGGCUCAACCCGGGAACUGCGUCCGAUACUGGAAGGCUUGAAUCCGGGAGAGGGAUGCGGAAUUCCAGGUGUAGCGGUGAAAUGCGCAGAUAUCAGGAGGAACACCAAUGGCGAAGGCAGCACUCUGGGACGGUACUGACGCUGAGACGCGAAAGCGUGGGGAGCAAACAGG